CCUGGUGUCAAUGAUGUCAUUGAUAAUCCCAUCUCUAUGAGAUCUUCUAUUUGAAGGCUCAGGAAUAGAUUUUAUCAAUUUCUGUCUGAGCCCAAA
rnacentral:snoRNA from 1 species